CUGUGGUAGGGCUGUGGUACGGCUGUGGUAGGGCUGUGGUAGGGCUCUGGUAAGGCUGUGGUAGGGCUGUGGUAGGGUUGUGGUACGGCUGUGGUAGGGCUGUGGUAAGGCUGUGGUAGGGCUGUGGUAGGGCUGUGGUAGGGCUGUGGUAAGGCUGUGGUAAGACUGUGGUAAGGCUGUGGUAGGGCUGUGGUAGGGCUGUGGUAGGGCUGUGGUAGGGCCGUGGUAGGGCUGUGGUAGGGCUGUGGCAAGGUAGGGCUGUGGUAGGGCUGUGGUAAGGCUGUGGUACGGCUGGGGUAGGGCUGUGGUAGGGCUGUGGUAAGGCUGUGGUAAGGCUGUGGUAUGGCUGUGGUACGGAUGUGGUAGGGCUGUGGUAGGGCUGUGGUAAGGUACGGCUGUGGUAAGGCGGUGGUAAGACUGUGGUAGGGCUGUGGCAAGGUAGGGCUGUGGUAGGGCUGUGGUAGGGCUGUGGUAGGGCUGUGGUAAGGCUGUGGUAAGGCUGUGGUAUGGCUGUGGUAGGGCUGGGCUGUGGUAAGGCUGUGGUAAGGCGGUGGUAAGACUGUGGUAGGGCUGUGGCAAGGUAGGGCUGUGGUAGGGCUAUGGCAAGGUAGGGCUGUGAUAGGGCUGUGGUAAGGCUGUGGUAAGUCUGUGGUAGGGCUGUGGUAAGGCUGUUGUAGGGCUGUGGUAAGGCUGUGGUAAGUCUGUGGUAGGGCUGUGGUAAGGCUGUUGUAGGGCUGUGGUAAGUCUGUGGUAGGGCUGUGGUAAGGCUGUGGUAGGGCUGUGGUAGGGCUGUGGUAGGGCUGUGGUAGGGAUGUGGUAAGGCUGUGGUAAGGCUGUGGUAAGGCUGUGGUAAGGCUGUGGUAGGGCUGUGGUAAGGCUGUGGUAAGUCUGUGGUAGGGCUGUGGUAAGG
ensembl:lncRNA